AUGAGAACACUGCAGUCUAUAGGAAAUGACAACAUUAAACUGUUGGCUUCUACAGUCAGUGCUUGGAGAAGGGUAGAGGAAACCCCUGUGAGGCUGAGCUGUGCUGUGGGAGACUUUGUGCCCAGAGCGAGCUGUGCCGCUGCUGCAGCGCUCAGGAAUGGCCUGAGGGCUGAUGGUGCCAGGAAGUUCUGUGCUAAUGAAUGGCUACAAAGUUCUCUGCAAGCCCUUCAGAUGAAACACCCACAGGAGCACAGCGGAGGGUGCAGUCACCUCUCAAAGGACGCUGUGUGCUGCCAGCCAGGACCCGAAGGCUUUGCUGUGCUGGAUUCAGAUCAGAUACAGAGCUAUGGGUAUUUCUCCUGGGGAUGGGGCAAGGUUUUGCCUUCAGUCCUGGAAGUUGUGGGUCUAGCACUCAAUGGAGCCACACCAACGUCCCGGUCCCUGUCUCCGGGACGCAGAUGCAUUUACUUGGCACAAACCCUUCACAGCAUCAGUACAGGAGGAGAAGCCUCUGAUCUGACUCAACUCAGCCUCCAAGUCCCUGUCUGCAGUACACAUCUGCUGCUGAAUCUGGCACUGGAGCUGCUCAGUGUCCCUUGGCCUCCCUCCAUCCACGCAGCCGACAGCGCCCUGCUCCUCAGGCAGGACUCGCUUGCAAUCCCCUCUCACUCUGGAGCCCAGAAGUGAAGCAGAAGUUGACUGCAAAUGAGAUUAUCUCCACCAAACCAUCUUUACUUCCAACCUCUCUUAUCAUCAGCUCUGCUGUUGACUUUGUGGCAGCAAUCCCACACAGUCCUUUGGCCUUUGAGACAGGUAAAUUUGAUAAGUAUUUUAAUUUUUAAUUAUUUUUUCCCAAUAGCAGCACCCGUGUGCUAAGGGAAGGCUGGCUGCUGUCCCUCGCAGCUCGGUGUCACAGUGGUGGCAGCAGCUGUGGGCUCCCAGGGGAUCUCCUGCCUGCACAGCCAGAGGUGAUGGGGGUUCCUGGGCCCCAGGGGCUCAGCCCUGCGGUUCCUUGCCCCUUAGAGCAGCACCAGGGCAUUGUGUGCAUGCAGGCUUUUCUUAGAAAGGAAAACUAAGCAAUAAACAUCGACAGAAAUGAGACA
rnacentral:lncRNA from 1 species